GUAACAGAAGAAUAACUUUUUCAAAAAAACUCACAUGAUUAAAAAGUAAUGUAUUACCAAAUAAGUCUUUGGUUAAAGCAGAAAUAAAUAUUUAGAACUGAAUGAUAACGAUACUACAAGACAAAAUUUUGAGGUAUGCAGCUAAAGCUGUACUUAGGGAAAAGUUAUAGCUUUAAAUAUAUUUACCGGGUAACAAAUAUCUAAAAUAGGUGAGUUAAGGAUUUAACUCAAAAAGUUGCGAGUUACAGAGCAAACCCAAAGUGACAAGAAAGAAGCAAAUAAUAAAGAUAAAAGAUUUUUAAAAACUAAAAAUAGAAGACAAAUAAAAAGUUAAUUUUUGUAAGAUUAAUAAAAUAGGGUCUUGGCAAUACUAAUCAAGAGAAAAUGAAAAUAAACAAAAUGCAUAAAGAAAGAAAAUAUCUAGACCCAACAGAGGAUUACUUAAGCAGCUGUACAUUGACAAAGUUGAAAAUCUAGAUAAAAUGGAAAAAUACCUAGAAAAAUGUAAAUGGCCAAACUUGGUACAGGAAGAAAUAAUGAACUUGAAUAUAUGAAUAAGUAUAAAAGAAAUUGAAUCCGAAAAAAUCCCAGUCCCAGAUAGCUUUACAGCUAAGUUCCAACAAACUGUCUUAUAAAAACUGUCUUGUAGGCUGGACACAGUGGCUCACGCCUGUAAUCCCAGGACUUUGGGAGGCCAAGGUGGGCAGAUUACUUGAGGUCAGGAGUUCGAGAUCAGCCUGGCCAACAUGAUGAAACCCCGUCUCUACUAAAAAAUACAAAAAAUUAGCCAGGUGUGAUGGUGAGCACCUGUAAUCCCAGCUACUUGGGAGGCUGAGGCAGGAGAAUCGCUUGAAUGCAGUGUAUUUUUUAAAUGCAUAAUAAUCAAGUAAAUCAUAUCUUAGUUGAUGGACUUUCUUUUCUUUUCUUUUUUGGAGACAUGGUUUCUCCGUGUUACCCAGGCUGGUCUCAAACUCCUGAGCUCAAGCGAUCCUCCCACCUUGGCCUCCCCAAUGUGCUGGGAUUACAGGCAUGAGCCACUGUGCCCAGCCCAGUGGUCUGUAUCUUAAUUGAGAUGGUAUUAUAUGAGCAUAUGCAUUUGUCUAAACUCAUUUAAUUGUGCACUUAAGAUCUGUACAUAUCACUGCUUGUAAAAUCACCUCAAUAAAAAAUAUUGGGGUGAUAUCAUUAAGAGGAGGAAGAGAUAUUGUCGAGUAAAAGCUGUAAAAGUUCACUGUGGGGAAAAAAAACGCAGUGAUCAAGAGAAUCAAAGUAGGUACAAAAAUCACACAUCUCACUGAUGAAAACAAUGUUCAUUGAGCUUGACUGAAAUGAAGCUUUUCCAUUUUAUUUAGCUGCAGAAAAUAUUUUCUGAAUCCUAUAGGAUGAAUCUUGACCAAAAUUGAUUUUUUGAAACAAACUGGUCUUUAGUGAUUUUAUUUUCUUUUUUGUGUAUGUAUAUGAUGGUUAAAUAACCAAAAUGAAUAUAAUAAUCAUUUCUAAA
rnacentral:lncRNA from 1 species